rnacentral:misc_RNA from 1 species
AAGUCGUAACAAGGUAACCGUAGGUGAACCUGCGGUUGGAUCAUUACAAAUUCAACAGGAUAAAGUUCGCCAUGGAACCGUUCGCGUGGUUCCGUGGUGUUCCUAAUCUGACCACACCUUUGUGAACCACUGACCGUAUCUUAUGGCCACAUUUGCGUUUUCCUACGGGGGUAGUUGACUUCAACAGUGCAUGUUUGACGCGCUGCAUGAAACUCGGACUAUUGGCCUCGCUCUUAAACGGGCGAGGGCAGAACCUGGUGGCCACUCAAACAAUGAAAACACCCGUUUUUUGACAUUUUGCCUUAAAAAUCAAUCUGAAGCUCGAAAGAGCGCUAGGAUUUAAAAAUGAGAAACAACUUUAGACAACGGAUCUCUUGGCUCUC